UACGUAGGGGGCAAGCGUUGUCCGGAAUCAUUGGGCGUAAAGCGCGUGUAGGCGGCCCGGUAAGUCCGCUGUGAAAGUCCAGGGCUCAACCCUGGAAUGCCGGUGGAUACUGUCGGGCUAGAGUGCGGAAGAGGCGAGUGGAAUUCCUGGUGUAGCGGUGAAAUGCGCAGAUAUCAGGAGGAACACCUAUUGCGAAGGCAGCUCGCUGGGACGUUACUGACGCUGAGACGCGAAAGCGUGGGGAGCAAACAGG
rnacentral:rRNA from 1 species